rnacentral:rRNA from 1 species
GUGGAUUAGAUACCCUGGUAGUCCACGCCCUAAACGAUGCGAACUGGAUGUUGGGUGCACUUAGGCACGCAGUAUCGAAGCUAACGCGUUAAGUUCGCCGCCUGGGGAGUACGGUCGCAAGACUGAAACUCAAAGGAAUUGACGGGGGCCCGCACAAGCGGUGGAGUAUGUGGUUUAAUUCGAUGCAACGCGAAGAACCUUACCUGGCCUUGACAUGCACGGAACUUUCCAGAGAUGGAUUGGUGCCUUCGGGAACCGUGACACAGGUGCUGCAUGGUCGUCGACAGCU